GGGAUCUGGCCUCAUAUCCUUCAUCUUUAUGCUGCUCCGCUCCAGCUCACAGCCCCUCCAACUGGAUGGAGCUCUUCGAAGGGAGGGGCAUUUCAGAGGAGGGUCUCAGGGAUAGCCCCUUUGUGGGGCUGGGCCACCAGUUUGGGGAGAGUGGAGCUGCUGGAACUCUGGAGGGACUGGCUGAGCCAGCUUUCCCAGUGCACCCCUCUGGGAGGGCAGGCUCUGGGUGUAGGCUGCCCAUCUCCUUGCUCUCCUCUGGCACUGCUCCUAUGCCCCCUUGGUUAGCCUGGGAGCCCAUACUACCCAGACUUGCGGUCAAUAAGCAGAGGACCUGUAAGGAGUCCUUGAUGGGAUGUACAGCACUGCCCAACCCUGCACAAGGUAGGGUAUUGAUGGUUGUUGUGUGGUGAGCUGCCUGCUUAUGGCUGGGUUUGGGCCUCCAUCCAUUUUUAUUUUCUUUGAGUUGGACUCUGGGGAAAGCUUCUCCCAGCAGGCGGAAUCUGGCCUGGGGGCUCCAGCUUCUCUCACCUGCCUGGCCUCCCAAGAGCUAGAGAGCUCCACAUCUCAACUCAUCUAUAACUCAUUAGCAGAACCAUCAGCUAGCAGAAACUAGGAAUAAUAAAAAUGUGCCGUAUUUUUACAAGCUGGAUGCCAGGCUUGGUGGUCAGGACACAGACUGCUUUCAGCUCCCACAUGCCCCUCCUGCUAGCUGCUUUGUGCAGAGUACUGGCUACAUGGCUGCAGGUGAGAGCCCUGCCUGUAAACAGGCCACCAGGAUGCUGGGACAUACCAGUUGAUAACCCAUGGGCUCCUGAGAGCAGAGAUUGUGACUCACUCAUCUUUGAUGUAGCCAAGUUCUAACAAACCUAAAUGUGCAGCCAUUUGUAAGAGAGGAUCAUGGAAUGAAUACAGGCAUUGAGUCAAGCAGUCUGUGUUCCACUGGUGGUGUGACCUGGGGCAGGCCAUUUCACCUCACUGAGCCUUAGUUUCCUCACCUGUAAAAUGUGAAAAAUAUCACCUUCCUUACCAGGCUUUUCUGAGGAUUUAUUGACAUCAUGUUCAGUGCCCAGUAUGGGUGGAUAAUACCCAGGAGUUUCUUCCUCUUCUCCUCCUAAGUGGACUUGAUGCCCCCCGCUGAAGAUCAUGGCUGAACUGGCUCAAUUCGGAUCCAGGACUCCUGACUUUGUCUCUUCCCUAGUUGCCCACCACACCCAUGGACACCCUUAGGUAGUUUAUCCUUUUGGGACAACUGGAUUUAUUAGAGAAGGGUAUUCUGGGGUGGAAUAAGGCCCUUUUCAGUCCCCAUGGAGCCUUUUUGGAAGAUGAAGUUCUCAAACCCACAAGAGAAUUCAUAGACGAGCACACCACCCACAGUUAGGUUUCCCUCUCAAGUGCUUUAUCUCCACGUGGGGCAAAUAGCUCUUUGUCUGCAUAUGUUAUUGGAGCUUUUGGAGUCCAGCCUUCAGAAGAGCUCUAAUUUUUGGAUUCAUAUCAGUUUAUUAGAGAAGCCUAGUUCUACGGAUUAGCAAAUGGGUAGGUGCUCAGCCAGCCCAGAACAAGCACAGCCAUGACAGAAGUUUCUGGAAUCUCACAGAGUCGGUGUCUUCAUGGACUCGGGGGCCUAAAUCCAAUAGCCUGGAUUUGUCACUUUCCCUUAUUCCCUUAUCAAACUCUUCCCUUUUGGACAUCAGAGAAGGAAAGUACUUCCUGUAAGGGGGCAAUUUGCAAAGCUUCAUGGAAGUGGCAUUUGAGUGUGGCCUUAAAGGAUGUGUAGGAUUGGGAACCAUAGAUAUUUAGAGGAAGGCAUUCCUGGCAGAAGGAACAGCAGCAAAACACAGAAGUGGAAAUUAGUAGCAGCAUUAAUGGAGAGUAAUUUGGGGAAUAAGAUAUACAAAUGGAAUAAUAAAAAUAGCAUUAAUUAAACAUUGUGGGAGUCAUUCUGUAAGAUGGCCCCUGGUG